AACUCUUCAGUGAUGCUUUAUUGAAAGAAAUUAAGGCGACGGUAGUUCGACAUCCAGAUACUUUGACUAUGGAAACUAUAAAAGCAGGCAAUAAGGGCUAUGCUGCAGAGAUUUUGGUUGUCACGUACAAUCGACAUACGGAGGAUGUAGAUGACCAAUCAAAGUUUAGGAUACUUCUGAACAUUCCUUGUAUUCCAGAGCUUUGGACAGCAUGGGAGAGAACUUAUUACCUCUGAGGUAGCUUGGCA